GGUGACCUGCGGAGGGAUCAUUACAAGUGACCCCGGUCUAACCACCGGGAUGUUCAUAACCCUUUGUUGUCCGACUCUGUUGCCUCCGGGGCGACCCUGCCUUCGGGCGGGGGCUCCGGGUGGACACUUCAAACUCUUGCGUAACUUUGCAGUCUGAGUAAACUUAAUUAAUAAAUUAAAACUUUUAACAACGGAUCUCUUGGUUCUGGCAUCGAUGAAGAACGCAGCGAAAUGCGAUAAGUAAUGUGAAUUGCAGAAUUCAGUGAAUCAUCGAAUCUUUGAACGCACAUUGCGCCCCCUGGUAUUCCGGGGGGCAUGCCUGUUCGAGCGUCAUUUCACCACUCAAGCCUCGCUUGGUAUUGGGCAACGCGGUCCGCCGCGUGCCUCAAAUCGACCGGCUGGGUCUUCUGUCCCCUAAGCGUUGUGGAAACUAUUCGCUAAAGGGUGUUCGGGAGGCUACGCCGUAAAACAACCCCAUUUCUAAGGUUGACCUCGGAUCAGGUAGGGAUACCCGCUGAACUUAAGCAUAUCAAUAAGCGGAGGAAAAGAAACCAACAGGGAUUGCUCUAGUAACGGCGAGUGAAGCAGCAAUAGCUCAAAUUUGAAAUCUGGCGUCUUCGACGUCCGAGUUGUAAUUUGUAGAGGAUGCUUCUGAGUAACCACCGACCUAAGUUCCUUGGAACAGGACGUCAUAGAGGGUGAGAAUCCCGUAUGCGGUCGGAAAGGUGCUCUAUACGUAGCUCCUUCGACGAGUCGAGUUGUUUGGGAAUGCAGCUCU
rnacentral:rRNA from 1 species